AGUGAACGCUGGCGGUAGGCCUAACACAUGCAAGUCGAACGGCAGCACAGUAAGAGCUUGCUCUUACGGGUGGCGGGUGGCGGACGGGUGAGGAAUACAUCGGAAUCUACUUUUUCGUGGGGGAUAACGUAGGGAAACCUACGCUAAUACCGCAUACGACCUACGGGUGAAAGCAGGGGAUCUUCGGACCUUGCGCGAUUGAAUGAGCCGAUGUCGGAUUAGCUAGUUGGCGGGGUAAAGGCCCACCAAGGCGACGAUCCGUAGCUGGUCUGAGAGGAUGAUCGGCCACACUGGAACUGAGACACGGUCCAGACUCCUACGGGAGGCAGCAGUGGGGAAUAUUGGACAAUGGGCGCAAGCCUGAUCCAGCCAUACCGCGUGGGUGAAGAAGGCCUUCGGGUUGUAAAGCCCUUUUGUUGGGAAAGAAAAGCAGCAGGUUAAUACCCCGCUGUUCUGACGGUACCCAAAGAAUAAGCACCGGCUAACUUCGUG
rnacentral:rRNA from 1 species